UGGCCAAUGAUGAAAUUCUUAAAUCACACACCAUCUUUCGGAUCUGAUUGGCCUAUGGUCAUGCUGAUCUUCUGCAAUUCUGAGGCCG
rfam:Picea glauca, whole genome shotgun sequence.